rnacentral:rRNA from 1 species
UACGUAGGCAGCAAGCGUUGUUCGGAAUUACUGGGCGUAAAGAGUGUGUAGGCGGUGCUCUAAGUUCGGUGUGAAAUCUCCCGGCUCAACUGGGAGGGUGCGCCGGAAACUGGGGUGCUGGAGCGCGGGAGAGGAAAGCGGAAUUCCUGGUGUAGCGGUGAAAUGCGUAGAUAUCAGGAGGAACACCGGCGGUGUAGACGGCUUUCUGGACCGUAGCUGACGCUGAGACACGAAAGACGUGGGGAGCAAACGGG